rnacentral:rRNA from 1 species
UACGUAGGGUGCAAGCGUUAAUCGGAAUUACUGGGCGUAAAGCGUGCGCAGGCGGUUAUGUAAGACAGAUGUGAAAUCCCCGGGCUCAACCUGGGAACUGCAUUUGUGACUGCAUAGCUAGAGUACGGUAGAGGGGGAUGGAAUUCCGCGUGUAGCAGUGAAAUGCGUAGAUAUGCGGAGGAACACCGAUGGCGAAGGCAAUCCCCUGGACCUGUACUGACGCUCAUGCACGAAAGCGUGGGGAGCAAACAGA